rnacentral:rRNA from 1 species
AACGAACGCUGGCGGCGUGCUUAACACAUGCAAGUCGAACGUGAAAGGCUUCGGCCGAGUAAAGUGGCGCACGGGUGAGUAACGCGUGGGUAAUCUGCCCUUGGGCGGGGGAUAACCUCUCGAAAGGGGGGCUAAUACCGCAUGAGACCACGGCUUCUCGGGGCUGUGGGAAAAAGGUGGGUCGCAAGGCCUGCCACCUGAGGAUGAGCCCGCGUACCAUUAGGUUGUUGGUGGGGUAAUGGCCUACCAAGCCGAAGAUGGUUAGCUGGUCUGAGAGGACGAUCAGCCACACUGGGACUGAGACACGGCCCAGACUCCUACGGGAGGCAGCAGUGGGGAAUAUUGCGCAAUGGGGGAAACCCUGACGCAGCAACGCCGCGUGUGUGAAGAAGGCCUUGGGUCGUAAGCACUGUUGGAGGAACGAGCCGCUCGUGGGGAAUAGUACUGCGAGCCCGACGGUACCUCCUGAGGAAGCACCGGCUAACUACGUGCCAGCAGCCGCGGU